UCUGAUAUUGUUUGUAUUUGUAGUUCAAGAUGUCAGACACAGACAGACAACUUCCCACACGAAAUAAAUUUGAUUAAUUGCUCGCGACUUUGAAAUUGAUACUUUUUUAAAAUAAAAUUUGAUGCAAUCCAAAACCUGUUCUGAUAAGAUUUGACAUAAACCUCGAAAAUCGAAAUAAACAACACAGUAUACGCGAUCGACUGUCAGCAUUUCAUUCAGAUUCAGACUGUAGCUCACACAACAAUAUCAAAUUUCUCCCUAAAUAUUCGUUUCUUUCUAUGCUAGCCACAAUAAUAAUUUAGGCUUACACUGCCUCUGCAGGCAGUUGUAGUAGUAAAAACUACUUAGUAGUUUGAUAUUCCAAUCCUUUGUUUCCGAAAAAUAGUCGAUUUUGUGAUCAAAAUGUACAUUUCGUAAUACAAAUCCCUAUUGCACUGACUGGCUUUACUGGC